CAAUCAUGAAUGUCCUCCCCCUUCAAUCAAUUCACCUACCCACCCACUAACCUCCCUUUAUCCGCCCCCACCAACAAGACCCUUGAGCGAGCAAUCAAUCCUGUUGGGGGGAAAGGGUUGCGAAGGGCAAUGAAAUCCAUUAAAAGGCCAGGGUGCCAUGGGCACAAUACGAUUUCCUUAGAAUGCGCUGCCUAUUCAGAAUUGUGGCUUUUCUUUACAGAAGGCGCCAGGCUGAGGAGGACGCUUGGGAUGCAGACCAGUGGGCACCGAAUGGAUGGGCUCCUGCUACAGCCAGGCAUCAGCCGUACUGCGAGACUGAAAAGCCCGUGUCCAUGGUGCUGAAAGUCAGCGUGAGCAGCGAUCGAUUGCAGGGGUAGAGAGAGAUCACAGCACUGUCACCUUCCUUACCCAUCCCAAUCACACCACGACCUCGUCACAAAUUGUACUUAAAAAUAGCAUGUUUAUUCCUAAAGACACAAAUCAGUUAACAUGCCAUCUGUUCCCUUUAAACCCCAACCGUGCCGGCGUUAAGAUCAUUAUGUUUACAGCUAAUAAGAAGUAUUUUCUUAAUUUCACUUAAACUCUAGAGUCAUUUACAUGCACAUUCAAUGCAUCUCUAGUUUGCAGCAACAAAUGCCAGAUUUUCAUUGUAAGAUCUCUUUCACUCCCUGUAUAUAGUCAACAAAGACUCUUAACCCACAGCUUGUUCUUUUUGAACAGUAACCACUAUUGUGUAAUCACAUGCUGGGUGAGAUAAUGCUCGCCUCAUUGUGUCACCCUGUUGAGGCUUAUGUCACAAAAGUAGCUACAAUGUUAAAUUUAGAACAAAUUGGCUUGUGUUUCCUUAGAUAUAUUUAAACAGAAUAAGUGCACCUACUUAGAGAAAAUGUACUUGCUGGAAUAGACUAUGUUCAUUAUGCUACACAUUGCCUAACUGGAAAUUAGUAGUGACAUUUACACUAUUAUUUUUGUUACAUAAAUCAGUGAUGUAAGAUGUACUUACUAUAAUAAGAAGGAAUAUUGUAACAAUCUGUAGCAGUCUAUAAUAUGAUGUGUAAUAAGGCAUGCUAUAAGAGACUGUGUAGCAUAUGUUGUAAUAAGCUGUAGAGUAGAUCUAUCCUGUAAUAGAGAUUAUCUCAAAAACGAACUGCAGGUGCAAAAGUGGUGUCUCAGUUGCAAAUAAGUAGCAUUUUGUAUUUGUGUCAAUAAGUUGUCACUAAACCACUUAUUUUUAUGUUCGAUUUUCAUUUCAUUUUUAUUUAAUGCUGCAUCUGACAUGUUCCUUGUUCUAGGCAAUACGUAUGUGAUGGUGAGUGUGAUUUAAAACACAUUAGGACUUAAUCAAGAACUGUGGAAAAAUAACUAGGAAAUUGCCAACUUUAGACCAGAAUAAUCAAACUGGAAAAAUCUUUAACUCCCAUUUAAAUUUGCAGAUCAGCUAUUUAGCCUACAAUUUGCAGCUCCCUUGUCAAAUCACCACACUCCCAGUUUAGUGAAUACAUCUAUUCAUUUCUAAACACACCGUACAAUAGCAACCAGGG